UAUAUAUAUAUAUAUCUACCAUUUGAUUUUGAGAGGGGGUGCUAGGGUAUAGAUAUAUAUCCUAGGUGCUAGGAUAUAUAUAUAUAUCCUAGCACCCCUCUUAAAAUUAAAUGGUAGCUAUAUAUA
rnacentral:sRNA from 1 species